rnacentral:rRNA from 1 species
AUUGAACGCUGGCGGCAUGCCUAACACAUGCAAGUCGAACGGAGUGGCGAACGGGUGAGUAAUGUAUCGGUAUGUGCCCAGUAGCGGGGGAUAACUUCACGAAAGGGAAGCUAAUACCGCAUACUAUUGGCUUGGCCGAUAUCGGAUUAGGGAGGUGGUGGGGGAACGGCUAACCAAGGCGACGAUCCGUACCUGGUUGGAGAGGAUGACCAGCCACACUGGGACUGAGACAGGGCCCAGACUCCUACGGGAGGCAGCAGUGGGGAAUUUGGGACAAGGGGCGAAAUCCUGAUCAAGCCAUGCGGCGUGUGCGAUGAAGGCCUGCGGGUUGUAAAGCACUUUUGGCAGGAAGGCGGUACCUACAGAAGAAGCACCGGCUAACUACGUGCCAGCAGCCGCGGUAAUAC